UGCUGGCAGGCCAGGUAGAAACACAGCUUGGCUUCAUGCAGCAUCCUGGAGGAACAAGACCAAAUCCUUAAUAUAAUUGCUCCAGGGCUGAAUUUAGCCACCAGCUACUGAAGAGAGCUGCAGGAAGCCACCCGCCCGUCUUUCCAAACCACAGGCUCAUGUGGGUUAUGAUAUGAUUUCCUCUGUCUUAUGUUUUUCGAAAAAAAGAAAGAAACCCAGAAGUGUCUACA